rnacentral:rRNA from 1 species
CCUACGGGUGGCAGCAGUGGGGAAUAUUGCGCAAUGGGCGCAAGCCUGACCCAGCAACGCCGCGUGAAGGAAGAAGGCUUUCGGGUUGUAAACUUCUUUUGUCAGGGAAGAGUAGAAGACGGUACCUGACGAAUAAGCCACGGCUAACUACGUCCCAGCAGCCGCGGUAAUACGUAGGUGGCAAGCGUUUUCCGGAUUUAUUGGGUGUAAAGGGCGUGUAGCCGGGUUGACAAGUCAGAUGUGAAAUCCUAGGGCUUAACCGCAGAACUGCAUUUGAAACUGUUGAUCUAGAGUACUGGAGAGGUAGGCGGAAUUCCUAGUGUAGCGGUGAAAUGCGUAGAUAUUAGGAGGAACACCAGUGGCGAAGGUGGUCUGCUGGACAGCAACUGACGGUGAGGCGCGAAAGCGUGGGGAGCAAACAGGAUUAGAUACCCGUGUAGUC